ACAGGGGUCUCCGAAAACCUGCAUAACAGAGUAGGAA
rfam:Chitinophaga niabensis strain DSM 24787 genome assembly, contig: Ga0070009_12